CCUACGGGAGGCAGCAGUGAGGAAUAUUGGUCAAUGGGCUAUGGCCUGAACCAGCCAAGUCGCGUGAGGGAAGACGGUCCUAUGGGUUGUAAACCUCUUUUGUCUGGGAGCAACGAGGCCACGUGAGGCCGAAGUGAGAGUACCCGAUGAAAAAGCAUCGGCUAACUCCGUGCCAGCAGCCGCGGUAAUACGGAGGAUGCGAGCGUUAUCCGGAUUUAUUGGGUUUAAAGGGUGCGUAGGCGGAAGAUUAAGUCAGCGUUAAAAUCUUCGGGCUCAACCUCAUUAAGCAGUUGAUACUGGUGAUCUUGAGUGGGCGAGAGGUAUGCGGAAUGCGUGGUGUAGCGGUGAAAUGCAUAGAUAUCACGCAGAACUCCGAUUGCGAAGGCAGCCUACCGGCGCCCGACUGACGCUGAGGCACGAAAGCGUGGGGAUCGAACAGGAUUAGAUACCCCUGUAGUC
rnacentral:rRNA from 1 species